GAGGGUUAAAUUGAUUAAGUUGAAGAGUCUGAGCUAUGUCAUUGUACAAAAUGGACUCUAAAUGACAGAAUCAAGGUUGCUUGGGCACCUUCAACUGUAACCUCUUGUCCAUACCCAUCUCUACCCAGAUAUAAAGCAACUUGAUAUAACCCAAAUUUGGAUACAGUGUGGUAAAGCAGUGCUUGGGGGUGCCACCUGCACAUUCCAGUGGAUCAAAGCAAGUUUGGUAUAAUGUGGUUUUACCAAUAAUGCAGUAAGAUUUUUUGGCUCCUGUGUACUAGCAUAAUUCAAGACUAUGCUGCCUCGGUGUACAGAGAAGGUCUAGGCUGGAGAUGAAGCAGGGUUAUGUACUGAGGAGACUUGUCUAACAUAGGACUUCUGCAAAAAGUGAAGCCAGAAGUUUGAGUGUGUGCAGGGGAUUACAGGAAAGAAAGUGAUAUUGGACUAGAUGGACCUUUGGUCUGAGCCAGUAUGGCUGUUCUUAUGCAAGUUACAUGGGUUGGAAAUUCUCAUUCUAUUCCAGCCUCUGCCAGAGUUCCUGUGUGAUGCUGGACACAUUUAACCCAGUCUUUUCAUGACUUGUCACUUUUUUGGGUGACCACACUGACAGCCUGGUGGGGAAUUUGCAGAAGCACUGUACAGUGAGUGCCAUAGAAAAGUCCAUGCUAAAGUAACUACCUUAAGAGCAAGGUGUGCAUAGUAUAUGGUAACCAAGUUAAGGAGUGACUAGCUGCUCAUUAAUGGAGUACUACCCAUCCUGUGCACAUGGGGCAGUAUCCAAUGGAAGAUAUAGUAUAGGGUCAUUAUAGCAUAAUUACAUGCAUGUGUGGGGCAAAAUGGAGGUUACAAGGGCAGCCUUGGUGUGCUGGGAGUGGGCAGACUAUCCAUUUCUCCCCUAGCCUAUGGGGCUGCCCUUCCUUGUCCUGUCUUCCUCCACCUCUGGCACCUGAUCCCAUUACUUCCUUCCCUACUCCCUUAUCUAGCUUUGCCAAUGACCACUCAGUCCCAGGUUCCUUCUCUGGCUACUCAGCUCAACCCAUCCCAAUGCUUUUCUCUAUUUCAGAUGCAGCUUCCUCUAUGCUGCCUGGAGCCAAUGUGGGGUGAUGUGCUAGGAGACCAAGAGAUAGGCUCCUCUACUCUGAGCUGCUACAGGCACCAG